CGGUGCAUGACGAAACUGGCUCACCAUGAAAGGCAGCACCCAGAGAGAUUUACCGGUGCGCCCCUCAGUCUGCACCAGAGCUGCAUUCUUCAGGAGACAAUGUAUUCACAUUGUCAAAACAAAGAGAAACAGCAAAAAGAUAAAAAUGACACCGUGAAAUCAAAGAUAAGAGCGAGCGAAACACAGAAGUCUGCAUUGUCUGGAGCUGUAUUGGAGUCUUUGAUUAAAAACCCGGGAUGUGUAGGAAACACACAGAUACUACACGGGUGUGAGCUCAGAGCACCAGAGGAGUGUUGUUGUUCACACUGCAAGCACAGGAGCUUUUGUUGCCAGGAGGAGGAGGUUUUUAAUGCCUGCGAUGGAGGGACCUAUCCUGAAAGUGGACGGGGAGUGGGGCCAGACUAGACACCGGAACCAGAGCCGUGCAAGCAGACAGUGGAGCUGGGAUCAGCAGCCUCCCAGUAAACAUGGUUUGACCAGGGCUAAACACAGCCUCCGAAACUGAUGAAGGCCAGUUUGAUGACAUGGAAUACAGGAGGAAUGUGAUUCAUAGGUGCUUUGACCAGGACUCUUGACUCCUGGGAAGACAAAGACAUGGUGAAAUCAGCUGAAGGAUCACAGCAGUGAAUGUACAAUAUAGAAAACUAGAGUUAUACACCCUGAGAUGGCCAGGCUCCUGUAAAUGUAAAACAUCCAUAUGAGAUGAACUACACAUCCUCAAACUCAGGACAUGUUCUGCCAAAUGUUAUGCGUGGAAUAACAUCAAGCUGAGGGAGAACUGGCAGGGAUCAAAGGUAACGUAUAGACUCGCAUGAAGAACGGAUCAAAGACAUUUAGCUUCGAAAGUAAUGACACCAGGGUGAAAGAAUCUAAUUAGUGGAAGGACAUUUCCUUUAUUACCCAAGAUGAAGAAGCGGAUAUAUAUUAUUGAUGGCCCGCAGUUGACAUACAGGGAGGAUAAUGUGAGAGAGAGAGGUGGAGUUAGGUGUCGGGUGAAGCAAAGGGAAUGAAAGCUUUGUGGAUGCAGUAUGUCGAUGCAGAGAGUGAGAAGAGUGUGGAUGAGAUGUGACGUGAAUGACCCCAGGUAGAAAGAUUCAGAGAAGAAGAUGGAUGUAUGGAGGAGGAAAACAGAAAGAAGUUGAGCUGAAAGAUACAUUUUCUUGCCAUUGGGCAGCGGAUGAUGCCAAGUCAUGAGGGAAAUGAGCAAAACCAAACCUUAGGAGGGACAGACAGAGGACCACAGAUAAGACAGAGCGAGAUAAAGAAAGAAAAGCUACAUUGAAGUCAGAGAUACGCAGCCAGCAAGCUUCCUCCUCAGAGCUGACCUCCUUUUACUCUGACUCAGCUGAGAGACAAGCACCACCUGCAGGACUGAAGAAGUACAUCCUGAUUUACACAAGAUACACAUUAUAGUUGAAUAGCAUCUCAAGAACAACACAAGGACAGUUGGACAGAUUUGUAGAGGAACACUUCCUUAAAAUGUUCCAAUAUUUCUCUUGGAUAAGGCAGAGGAAGCAGCUAAACUGUGCUCAUUGUUAUGGGUGUUUUCUCUUUUCACUUCUGAUAUAUUUGCACAAAUACCAACAGUACAAAAAAAUGAAAAUCAAUAAAAUGUGCCUACAGAGGCCAAAAAGCUCAUCUUACAUAAACAACACUGAAAACACA